GGCCGCCUGAGGAGGGAACUCCAGUCUCUUGGCUGGCAUGGGAGGUGUGGAUGGUUGCAUCAGGGAUGGCGGCGGCGAUGGCACCUGUGCGGCGUCUGCGAACUGAGACCUUUGAGAUGGACUGGGCAUCGAAUCCUUUGUUCGCUGAUGGGCUUGGCGCCGGCCACAGCAGGAAGUUGUGAGUCAGGUUUGCAGUUGUGAGCACCUCCAUUCGCUGAUCCCGGCGGGUUGGGCAGCCCCCUUGGCACUGGCUCGUUCUGGGUUACGGGUUCUAUCAACUUCUGCCAAUUCCGCAACAAUUUCUUGGCACGUUUGGCAAGUUCCUCAUUGGAUGUCUUCUUCCUCACCUCAUUGAUAAGCCUCCCGAGUCUGGUUUCCUACAAAGACAGACAAGGUGUUUUACAAACACGUAUCAUUCCAAGCAAAAUUCUCAAGGAAUGCUUUUGCUUUGUAAUGCUCACCCCUGAGAAACACCUGCUUGAAAACACUAAAGAUUUAAGUGUUGAAUUAAUCUUUUUGGAAAGGAUUAGUCCAGUGCUCCGCCACGCAACAUGAAACCGGCUGUAGGUUUCAAGUCACGCUGUCUUUAUUCCCUGGUAAAAGCAGGAGAGCUGGGAAAAACAUCAGAAAGGAAUUCUUUAAUGAGAAAGAACCAUAAGAAUAAAGGUGCAGGUUCAGAUUCAAGGGGAAAUGCAGCACCCAAAGAUGUGUGUUUAUCACAAGGGAAGUAUAAGAUCUGCAGAGAGAGACAAGAGGAAAGAAUUCCAGGAUCUUUGCCUGUCCCAGUAACUCGUUAACAAUAAAAAUCUCCAUUUGACAAACCUGA